rnacentral:rRNA from 13 species
AUCACGACUCUCGGCAACGGAUAUCUUGGCUCUUGCAUCGAUGAAGAACGUAGCGAAAUGCGAUACUUGGUGUGAAUUGCAGAAUCCCGUGAACCAUCGAGUCUUUGAACGCAAGUUGCGCCCGAGACCUUUAGGUUGAGGGCACACCUGCUUGGGCGUCAUGC